rnacentral:rRNA from 1 species
UACGGAGGGUGCAAGCGUUAAUCGGAAUUACUGGGCGUAAAGCGCACGCAGGUGGCUGAGUCAGUCGAUUGUGAAAGCCCUGGGCUUAACCUGGGAAUUGCAGUCGAUACUACUCAGCUAGAGUAUGGGAGAGGGUAGUGGAAUUCCCGGUGUAGCGGUGAAAUGCGCAGAUAUCGGGAGGAACACCAAUUGCGAAGGCAGCUCGCUGGGACGUUACGUGACGCUGAGACGCGAAAGCGUGGGAG